rnacentral:rRNA from 1 species
UACGUAGGGUGCAAGCGUUGUCCGGAAUUAUUGGGCGUAAAGAGCUCGUAGGCGGUUUGUUGCGUCGGCUGUGAAGGCCCGGGGCUUAACCCCGGGUCUGCAUUCGAUACGGGCAGGCUAGAGUGUGGUAGGGGAGAUCGGAAUUCCUGGUGUAGCGGUGAAAUGCGCAGAUAUCAGGAGGAACACCGGUGGCGAAGGCGGAUCUCUGGGCCAUUACUGACGCUGAGGCGCGAAAGCGUGGGGAGCGAACAGG